rnacentral:rRNA from 1 species
AACGAACACUGGCGGCGUGGUUUAGGCAUGCAAGUCGAACGUGAAAGUCCCUUCGGGGAUGAGUAAAGUGGCGAACGGGUGAGUAACGCGUGGGAAACCUUCCCUUCGAUGGGGGAUAACAGUUCUAACGAGCUGCUAAUACCGCAUACGACCCUUGGAUCGCAUGGUCCGGGGGUNAAAGGGGGGCGAUCUCUUCGGAGAGCUCCCGUCGAUGGAUGGUCCCGCGUCCCAUUAGCUAGUUGGCGGGGUAAUGGCCCACCAAGGCGACGAUGGGUAGCCGGCCUGAGAGGGUGUCCGGCCACACUGGGACUGAGAUACGGCCCAGACUCCUACGGGAGGCAGCAGUCGAGAAGCUUCGGCAAUGGGCGAAAGCCUGACCGAGCGACGCCGCGUGAGCGAAGAAGGCCCUAUGGGUUGUAAAGCUCUGUCAGAUUGGGAAGAAAACCUCGCGGUUAAUACCCGCGAGGCCUGACGGUACCAUCAGAGGAAGCACCGGCUAACCCCGUGCCAGCAGCCGCGGU